rnacentral:rRNA from 1 species
UACGUAGGGGGCAAGCGUUGUCCGGAUUUAUUGGGCGUAAAGAGCGUGUAGGCGGCCAGGUAGGUCCGCUGUGAAAACUCGAGGCUCAACCUCGAGAUGUCGGCGGAAACCAUCUGGCUAGAGUCCGGAAGAGGAGUGUGGAAUUCCUGGUGUAGCGGUGAAAUGCGCAGAUAUCAGGAAGAACACCCGUGGCGAAGGCGGCUCUCUGGGCCUGUUCUGACGCUGAGGCGCGAAAGCUAGGGGAGCGAACAGG